rnacentral:rRNA from 1 species
GAUGAACGCUGGCGGCGUGCCUAAUACAUGCAAGUCGAGCGAACAGACGAGGAGCUUGCUCCUCUGACGUUAGCGGCGGACGGGUGAGUAACACGUGUAUAACCUACCUAUAAGACUGGGAUAACUUCGGGAAACCGGAGCUAAUACCGGAUAAUAUAUUGAACCGCAUGGUUCAAUAGUGAAAGACGGUUUUGCUGGCACUUAUAGAUGGAUCCGCGCCGCAUUAGCUAGUUGGUAAGUUAACGGCUUACCAAGGCAACGAUGCGUAGCCGACGUGAGAGAGUGGUAGGCCACACUGGAGGUGAGACGGGGACAAGACUCCUAAGGGAGGCAGCAGUAGGGAAUCUGAGGCAGUAGGCGAAAGCAUGACGGAGCAACGCCACGUGAGUGAUGAAGGUCUUCGGAGCGUAAAAAUCUGUUAUGAGGGAAAAACAAAUGUGUAAGUAAAUAUGCACGUAUUGACGGUACCGAAUAAGAAAGCCACGGCUAACUACGUG